GAUGAACGCUAGCGGCAGGCCUAACACAUGCAAGUCGAGGGGUAGGGUUCUUCGGAACCUGAGACCGGCGCACGGGUGCGUAACGCGUAUGCAAUCUGCCUCUUACACUUGGAUAGCCCAGAGAAAUUUGGAUUAAUACAGGAUGUGGUAAUUGAAUGGCAUCAUUUAAUUACUAAAGAUUUAUUGGUAAGAGAUGAGCAUGCGUCCCAUUAGCUAGUUGGUAUGGUAACGGCAUACCAAGGCUACGAUGGGUAGGGGUCCUGAGAGGGAGAUCCCCCACACUGGUACUGAGACACGGACCAGACUCCUACGGGAGGCAGCAGUGAGGAAUAUUGGUCAAUGGACGGAAGUCUGAACCAGCCAUGCCGCGUGGAGGAAUAAGGUCCUAUGGAUUGUAAACUGCUUUUAUACGAGAAGAACUAAUGAUACGUGUAUCAUGCUGACGGUAUCGUAUGAAUAAGCACCGGCUAACUCCGUGCCAGCCGCCGCCGUAACAC
rnacentral:rRNA from 1 species